rnacentral:rRNA from 1 species
UACGUUCGGAUUGUAGGCUGAAACUACGCCUACAUGAAGCUGGAAUUGCUAGUAAUCACAGGUCAGCAUACUGUGGUGAAUACGUUCCCGGGCCUUGUACACACCGCCCGUCACACCAUGAGAGUUGAGAAUACCCGAAGCCCAUGUCAAAGUGGUCGAAGGUAGGCUUGAUGAUUGGGGUGAAGUCGUAACAAGGUACC